UACGAAGGGGGCUAGCGUUGUUCGGAAUUACUGGGCGUAAAGGGCUCGUAGGCGGCCAACUAAGUCAGACGUGAAAUCCCUCGGCUUAACCGGGGAACUGCGUCUGAUACUGGUUGGCUUGAGUGUGGGAGAGGGAUGCGGAAUUCCAGGUGUAGCGGUGAAAUGCGUAGAUAUCUGGAGGAACACCGGUGGCGAAGGCGGCAUCCUGGACCAUUACUGACGCUGAGGAGCGAAAGCCAGGGGAGCAAACGGG
rnacentral:rRNA from 1 species